rnacentral:rRNA from 1 species
UGGGGAAUCUUGCACAAUGGGCGAAAGCCUGAUGCAGCAACGCCGCGUGCGGGAAGAAGGCCCUCGGGUUGUAAACCGCUUUCAGAAGGAACGAAACUGACGGUACUUUCAGAAGAAGGUGCGGCCAACUACGUGCCAGCAGCCGCGGUGACACGUAGGCACCAAGCGUUGUCCGGAUUUAUUGGGCGUAAAGAGCUCGUAGGCGGUUCAGUAAGUCGGGUGUGAAAACUUUGGGCUUAACCCAAAGCGUGCAUCCGAUACUGCUGUGACUUGAGUACGGUAGGGGAGCGGGGAAUUCCUAGUGUAGCGGUGAAAUGCGCAGAUAUUAGGAGGAACACCGGUGGCGAAGGCGCCGCUCUGGGCCGAAACUGACGCUGAGGAGCGAAAGCAUGGGUAGCAAACAGGAUUAGAUACCCCUGUAGUCCCUGAGCGGGCUGGCAAGGCGCAU